UUUAAUAGGCAUCGCCGAGUAGCUAAAUUUAUUUUGGAUAAUUACUGAAAGCAUCUAAGUAAGAAACCAUUCUUAAAAAUUUUUCAUAUGAAAACUGUAAAAGACUAUUACAUUGAUAGGUUUUAAGUGUAAGUAUCGUAAGGUAUUCAGCUUAAAAAUACUAAAAGUUUCAAAAUUUUAAAUAU
rnacentral:ncRNA from 1 species